rnacentral:rRNA from 1 species
AGUGAACGCUGGCGGCGUGCCUAAUACAUGCAAGUCGAACGGAGUGGCGCACGGGUGAGUACUGUAUAGCUAAUCUGCCCUACACUAGAGGACAACAGUUGGAAACGGCUGCUAAUACUCUAUAGUGUAGGAUGAGGCUAUAUUUUAUCAGCUAUUUGGUGAGGUAAUGGCUCACAAAGGCUAUGACGCAUAACUGGUCUGAGAGGAUGAUCAGUAACACUGGAACUGAGAAACGGUGCAGACGCCGACGGGAGGCAGCAGUAGGGAAUAUUGCUCAAUGGGGGAAACCCUGAAGCAGCAACGCCGCGUGGAGGAUGACACUUUUCGGAGCGUAAACUCAUUUUGUUAGGGAAGCGGUACCUAACGAAGAAGCACCGGCUAACUCCGUGCAAGCAGCCGCGGUAAUU